rnacentral:rRNA from 1 species
UACGAAGGGGGCUAGCGUUGCUCGGAAUGACUGGGCGUAAAGGGCGCGUAGGCGGAUGGCACAGUCAGAUGUGAAAUUCCCGGGCUUAACCUGGGGGCUGCAUUUGAUACGUGUGAUCUAGAGUGAGGAAGAGGGUCGUGGAAUUCCUGGUGUAGCAGUGAAAUGCGUAGAUAUCAGGAGGAAUACCGAUGGCGAAGGCAGGUCUCUGGGCUGACACUGACGCUCAUGCACGAAAGCGUGGGGAGCAAACAGG